CUAUGGAUUGAAGGAGGUUGAAAGUGCAGGAUUAUUCUGCGCCUGCGCGGCCCGGGUCACUUCGCCGGCUGCUCCUAAGCUCCCGGCUCGCCGCCAUCUUGUAUUGGGGCUUCAUUGUUCGCGUUGCGCCGGGCUGUUUAGUGUAAUUGCCGCGGAAGGAGGAGGCGGACUCCGGUCAGCCGAGAAACCCCGCUAUUCCGCAGCCAUAACCGCUCAAAAGAUUUGGACGGUAGUAAAGGGUAGGGAGCUGGACCCCGAGGCGCCGGCGCGACAGCAGCAGCCAUGGAGGACGAGAUGCCCAAGACUCUAAACUGCCAGAAAUAUCUGGGAACUUAACCUUUUUAUUACGUUGAUUUGGGAAUGUCAAAUAAUGAAGACAACCUCAGCUUUCUCAGGCCAGUCUACAAAAGCAGAUAUGUCGGCAACCUUUCCAGAGAUGUGACAGAAGCUCUAAUUCUCCAGCUCUUUAGCCAGAUUGGACCUUGUAAAAACUGCAAAAUGAUUAUGGAUGUAAGGACAGCUGGAAAUGAUCCAUACUGUUUUGUGGAAUUUUAUGAGCAUCGUCAUGCAGCUGCAGCACUAGCUGCUAUGAAUGGGCGGAAGAUAAUGGGUAAGGAAGUCAAAGUGAAUUGGGCAACAACCCCCAGCAGUCAAAAGAAAGAUACAAGCAGUAGUACCGUUGUCAGCACACAGCGUUCACAAGUCUUAGUUCACUUGCACAUGGAUUCACAUAAACUGAAUGGUGUAAUGUCUGGGCAACCAAAACUGUUGGCUUUUGAGAAAACUGUCAAAUACUUUAACAUCAAACUGUUGCAAUGCAAGAUCAUUUCCAUGUCUUUGUUGGUGAUCUCAGUCCAGAAAUUACAACUGAAGAUAUAAAAGCUGCUUUUGCACCAUUUGGAAGAAUAUCAGUAUCUCUGAAGAAUGGACAGAAUUGCCCUGGCUAACUACAAGCUACGGUUCACAGUGGAUAAAUAGAUGCCAGAGUGGUAAAAGACAUGGCAACAGGAAAGUCUAAAGGAUAUGGCUUUGUCUCCUUUUUCAACAAAUGGGAUGCUGAAAACGCCAUUCAACAGAUGGGUGGCCAGUGGCUUGGUGGAAGACAAAUCAGAACUAACUGGGCAACCCGAAAGCCUCCAGCUCCAAAGAGUACAUAUGAGUCAAACACCAAACAGCUAUCAUAUGAUGAGGUUGUAAAUCAGUCUAGUCCGAGCAACUGUACUGUAUACUGUGGAGGUGUCACUUCCGGGCUGACAGAACAACUAAUGCGUCAGACUUUUUCACCAUUUGGACAAAUAAUGGAAAUUCGAGUCUUUCCAGAUAAAGGAUAUUCAUUUGUUCGGUUCAAUUCCCAUGAAAGUGCAGCACAUGCAAUCGUUUCUGUUAAUGGAACUACCAUUGAAGGUCAUGUCGUGAAAUGCUAUUGGGGCAAAGAAACUCUUGAUAUGAUAAACCCUGUGCAACAGCAGAAUCAAAUUGGGUAUCCACAAGCUUAUGGCCAGUGGGGCCAGUGGUAUGGAAAUGCACAACAAAUUGGCCAGUAUAUGCCUAAUGGUUGGCAGGUACCUGCAUAUGGAAUGUAUGGCCAGGCGUGGAGUCAGCAGGGAUUUAAUCAGACACAGUCUUCUGCACCAUGGAUGGGACCAAAUUAUGGAGUGCAGCCACCUCCAGGACAGAAUGGCAGCAUGUUGCCUAAUCAGCCUGCAGGGUAUCGAGUGGCAGGGUAUGAAACCCAGUGAAAAAGGACUCCAUAAUCUAAAGCCAGUGGCUUGAGGCUACAGGGAGUGUAGUAAAGCCGUUGUUUACUUAAAGAUUUAUCAAAUCAGUCAGUGCAAAUGUCAGAUACAAUGUAUUUAUUUAAAAGAUUCAUUUUUAAUCAUGAAAUUACUUAUCAUCCACAUUGUUUUAAAAAGAAACAAGAUGCUGGAUGUCUGCCAAUUUUUGCCUUCAUUACCUUUUUUGAUAAAGUUUCUCAGAUCCUUGUUUCAAAUACAAAUGCAGGGAUUGCUGCCACUUUUUUAAAAUUAAGAGGCAGAAAAUUGCACAAUGUUGAACUUUUUUCCACUAAAGUAGUGUGCAGUUCUAGUUUGCAUUCCUGAUAUGAUUUAAAACAUGUAAUAUAAAGAUGUUAAAAAAAAAAAUGAAGUACCAAAACUGUGCAAAGUCUAGAAGUUCUUUGUAAUCUUCAGCUUGUGCACAAUUCUGUUUUAGGGUUUUUUGUUUUUUGUUUUUUUAAAAGCAUUGUUUGAACUGUCCCAUCUCCACUGUUUUCCCUUUGGGGUUUUAAAAUAUAAAUUAUAAGUUUACAUCAUUUUUGUAACUACAUUUUUCACAAAUUUGUCUUGCCUUAUUAAAUUUCUGUAAAAUAUACUUAAAUGGGGAAAAAAAUGAUGUUCACUUAGAUUGAAAACUUUUCUCAGAUGGAUUGAUAAUUGCAUUCAUUUUGUGUUUUAUAUGAGAAGGUGCCUCAAGAAUUCACUCUUGGAUUUGUUUAAAGGAUUUUUAUCUUCUGUGAUAAACUUUGCUGUGUACCAGGAAAUAUAAAAGCAAAAACUUGCUACUAAAGAAAAUCUCUGAAAUGUGAGACGUUCUUAUGAGCCUGUGUUAAUUUCAUGUGUCAACUUCUACAUUUAUGUGUAUUGUUUCAUUCUGUAAAAUGUUUUAGCAAUUUAAUAUUUUGCACAGUUAGCAAGCUUUGUAUGUCAUUUCCUUCUUAAAGGCAUCAUGCAGAGUUGACAGGAGAUUUCAAAGGUUUUAAGUUGUUUGCAUGUGAAUAUCAAAUACACACUUUGGUAGUCUUUGAAUACAAAGUCAUCUGCUCUUGUUUUUCAAGAAUUUUGAGACACAAAGUUGUAUGUAAAGGAAUAUAUUAAUUUGCCAUUUUCUAGUUAUAUUUACUCAAAAAGAGUAAAUUAACUUAAUUUUAAUACGUACAAAUGAUAGCUGUGAAACUGUAGAAUAUCCUAUAUCAGGCUUGGAGUUCGUUGUGCACUUCAAAAUCAGCCUGAAGGACCAGCCGGGCAAAGCAUUUUUUAAAUGUUCAGAGGCCAAAAGAUAAACAAAACAAAACAAAACAAAACAAAAACCUUAAAAUCCUACCUCCUUAAACAGCCUUCAAAGAGGAGAAUCCUCAGUGCAAUCAUUAUUUUGAUUCUUUUGGUACCUGUUUUCCUGGAGUUCCCAAUUUUAUUAUUUUGGGGUGGCUCCGAGCAUUAGGUUUAAUCUUUGAUGGCAUUGUUCUAGUUUUGAAAUUUCUAGUACAUUUCAGAGUCUCUUAGAAGAGUUGUGGGAGAUUUUUGUUUUGUUUUCAGUGAAAGUCACAAACUUUCUUCUUCCUUUACUCACAAGGGGGAAGAGUCCUCAGUAUACAUAUUUGGAUGGUUUGUUGUUUUUAAGACCUUCAGAGAGCUCCUAGCAUUUAGCAACAGAAAAGGCCUGUGAAAUCUUAAGUUUCCUGGCCUUGUCUCUUCCAGGUAGGAGCAAAUGAAGCUGGUCUCUAAAGCCAAUAUUCAUGUAAACCAGAGCCCAGGAAAGACAGCUCAUAAGUGUUUAAUUCUCUGGAGCUCAAUUCUAUGCAGUUGUACUGAUGUUUCAUUACGUACGUCACUGUGUAUUUUUAAGUGUUGAUACAUUAAAAGUUGCUUUAUGGAAGAUGAGUAAAUUUUUUAAAUACUUGGGAAUUUUAUUUCCUUUUUAACGUCUACAGAUCAGGACAUGGGACCAGAAGCAGCUUAAAUGAAAUACUCAAAAAGUAAAAUAUCAGGAAGCUAUUUUUAGAUUCUUCUGGUUUAUGUUUCUAUUUUAAGACCCUUAUUAUUUUUCUUACUCAAAAAUAUUUUAUUUCCUGUACAUCUGUGGACUGCAGGGUAAAUUAUUUGGGCAUAAGUAAUUUAAGCAAAAGUAUAGUUUUUCUUUCAUUUUGACUUUCUCAAGUAACACUUUUUAUUAGCCAGUAUAUUUUCUUAUUGCACAAAUUUUAAAGUGUACAUUAACUACUUUUUGAGAAGAAACUGGUAUUUCUCAAAAAAGUUACUACUGAACAAAUUGACAUUUCAGGAACAUUGCUAACUUUGGUUUAAAUCUUACUCCUAGUGUUAAAAUCAUUAAAAGAUUUUUUAGUCUAAAAAUAAUACUGGUAUUAGUAUCAGGUAAGGAAAUUAAAGUUUUAAAAAUGGUUUCGUUCUCUGCAAUAUGCAUUCAGAUUUUACUAUAAAAUACAUCUGGUACUGUAAAGAACCUGAAGUGAUUCACACUUAAUGGGUCGUUAAUCCAGUAUUCUUUGCCCUGACUGUUUGGAUAUUAAAGUUCCUUUAUGUUUUCUAUAACCUGUGGGAUCUUCUUGCAGUGAUUAUUGUGUGUGAAAGAUUUUUCUUUUUGGUCUAACCAUAUUGUUAUAUUCACUCAGGUAUUUGUUAGAUUUUUUUUUUAACCUUAUUCCAGAAACCAUGGUUUGCAUUGGAUUACUAUUUAAUACCACAAAGAAUUGGCAUUCUGUAGAUUUAACUCAUUAUAAAACUAGGAUCUCAUUUUCCUUGUUGAUACUA